rnacentral:lncRNA from 1 species
GUUCAUUGUAACUGCUCUAGUCACAUCUGAAGUUAGGAUGAAUUCUGGAUGUCAAAAAGAAGAGGAGAGAGCCACUGAGAUCUUUGAAAAGCAGAGUGAAGUUUUUCAUGAGCUGCUCAUCAGUUGCUACAUCCCCCACUAUGAGCUCACAUCUCGAUGAAGCUUCUGUUGUGAGGCUCACCAUUGGUUCUUUACAUGUGAGGAAACUUCUGGGUGCUGUGAUGCUUUUUUCUGCUUCACCUCAAAAUCCCUGUGCUGCUUUUUCUGCCCAUCUUAGAAGGACAGAAAUGGAAAAGCAAAUCGAAAUGACAAAGAGCAAAGCAGAAGGGCUGCUGAGAGGAGUAACGCUUCGGAGCACCGGCCUCACCCCAGUCCCAUCUGUUGAAGAAUCUCAUAAAUGUAACACAGGCUUACAGAGAAGAAACGAAUUUAUUAUACAAAGUAUCCAGUUGUAACCCUGGAAAUUCUGAAGGAAAAACUUUAUGUACCAGGAAAGUUCUGGCAAAAUUGUACACAAACAGAAGGCUGUUUGAGGCUUUGGAAUUAUUAAAGCAAGUUCCAGGACAUGAGAAAUUAUCCAGUCUCUGUAAGACCACGUCUUUGUUCUGUUGUUCUGUUUUUCUUCAGCUAUUAACCACCUUAAUACACUGAUGUUGGCAGCUAAGGACAGGAGAUAGAAUUAGUGGAAGAGUCUUAUUGCAUUUUAAGAUUGUGUUAAACACACAAGCACAUCGCAGCUCUCUGAAGAACGUGACUCCUGUAAUCUUUCUUCAAGAGUUAUCAGUGGAUCUUCCUUCACAGACCUAGUGGUAGAGACAGUGAACAU